rnacentral:rRNA from 1 species
UACAGAGGGUGCAAGCGUUGCUCGGAAUCAUUGGGCGUAAAGGGUAGGUAGGUGGUCUCGUUUGUCUGGGUGAAAGCCCAGGGCUUAACCCUGGAAGUGCCCCAGAAACGGCGAGACUAGAGUCUUGGAGAGGGUCGUGGAAUUCCGGUGUAGCGGUGAAAUGCGUAGAGAUCGGGAGGAACACCAGAGGCGAAGGCGGCGACCUGGACAAGUACUGACACUCAACUACGAAAGCGUGGGGAGCAAACAGG